GAGUUUGAUCGUGGCUCAGAUUGAACGCUGGCGGCAUGCCUUACACAUGCAAGUCGAACGGCAGCAUGAUCUAGCUUGCUAGAUUGAUGGCGAGUGGCGAACGGGUGAGUAAUACAUCGGAACGUGCCCUGUAGUGGGGAGUAACUAGUCGAAAGAUUAGCUAAUACCGCAUACGACCUGAGGGUGGAAAGUGGGGGACCGGCAUGGCCUCAUGCUAUAGGAGCGGCCGAUGUCUGAUUAGCUAGUUGGUGGGGUAAAGGGCCCACCAAGGCGACGAUCAGUAGCUGGUCUGAGAGGACGAUCAGCCACACUGGGACUGAGACACGGCCCAGACUCCUA
rnacentral:rRNA from 1 species